GACGAACGCUGGCGGCGUGCCUAAUACAUGCAAGUCGAACGCUUCUUUCCUCCCGAGUGCUUGCACUCAAUUGGAAAGAGGAGUGGCUGACGGGUGAGUAACACGUGGGUAACCUACCCAUCAGAGGGGGAUAACACUUGGAAACAGGUGCUAAUACCGCAUAACAGUUUAUGCCGCAUGGCAUAAGAGUGAAAGGCGCUUUCGGGUGUCGCUGAUGGAUGGACCCGCGGUGCAUUAGCUAGUUGGUGAGGUAACGGCUCACCAAGGCCACGAUGCAUAGCCGACCUGAGAGGGUGAUCGGCCACACUGGGACUGAGACACGGCCCAGACUCCUACGGGAGGCAGCAGUAGGGAAUCUUCGGCAAUGGACGAAAGUCUGACCGAGCAACGCCGCGUGAGUGAAGAAGGUCUUCGGAUCGUAAAACUCUGUUGUUAGAGAAGAACAAGGACGUUAGUAACUGAACGUCCGAUGACGGUAUCUAAACAGAAAGCCACGGCUAACUACGUG
rnacentral:rRNA from 1 species